rnacentral:rRNA from 1 species
GACGAACGCUGGCGGCGUGCUUAACACAUGCAAGUCGAACGGAAAGGCCCUGCCUUUGUGGGGUGCUCGAGGGGCGACCGGGUGAGUAACACGUGGGUAACCUGCCCUUUCCUUUGGGAUAACGUCAGGAAACUGGGGCUAAUACCGGAUAGGAGCUACUGCUGCAUGGUGGGGGCUGGAAAGUUUCGGCGGUUGGGGAUGGAAUGGCGGACUAUGAGCUUGUUGCGGGGGUAGUGGCUUACCAAGGCUUGGCCGGGUGGCCGGCCUGAGAGGGGGACCGGCCCCGUUGGGCUUGGACUGAGGCCCAGCCCCGUACCCGACGCAGCGGUGGAGAAGAGUGCCCAAUGGGCGGAAGCCUAAUGCAGCAAAGCCGCGUGCGGGAUGACGGCCUUCGGGUUGUAAACCGCUUUCGCCUGUGACGAAGCGUGAGUGACGGUAAUGGGUAAAGAAGCACCGGCUAACUACGUG